AUGGAAACCGCCUUCAAGACAAAAGAAGGGUUGUUUGAAUGGCUAGUCAUGCCAUUUGGACUCUCAAAUGCACGAAGUACCUUUAUGUGCUUGAUGAAUCAAGUCCUUAGACCCUUCUUAUCCGACUUUGUUGUGGUCUAUUUCGAUGACAUCUUGAUCUAUAGCAAGGAUGAGGAUGAACACUUUGAUCACAUUCGGAAGGUGCUAGAAGUACUAAGGGAAAAUGAGCUCUACAUCAACUUGAAGAAAUGUGUUUUCCUGCAAACACAACUUCUUUUCCUAGGAUUCGUCAUAACAUGUGACGGUAUUCGUGUUGAUGAUUCUAAGGUUGAAGCAAUUUGA
rnacentral:rRNA from 1 species